GUCCCCUUGGCGAUGUCCGAUGAAAUUGGAACGAUAUAGAAGAAGAUUAGCAUGGUCUUUGCGCAGGGAUGACAUGCAUAAAUCGAGAAAUUGUUCAAAAGUUU